AGGCAGUUAGUUUAAUAAAAACACUUGAUUUCGGCUUAAUAGAUAUGGUUAAAGUCCAUAACUGCCCA
rnacentral:tRNA from 1 species